rnacentral:snoRNA from 1 species
CUGCAGACCUUCCAUGGAGGACUGAGCCUGCACGUGCUCCGUUCUUUCCUAAAGUGUCUGCUAAAAUGAUGUGAGGCUGUUUGAGGCUCCGCUGUGGCUCUUCAUAGUGGGGUUAUAGGUAAACCUCCGACAAAU